UACGUAGGGUGCGAGCGUUGUCCGGAAUUAUUGGGCGUAAAGGGCUCGUAGGCGGUUUGUCGCGUCGGGAGUGAAAUCCACUGGCUUAACUGGUGGCUUGCUUUCGAUACGGGCAGACUGGAGGUAUGCAGGGGAGAACGGAAUUCCUGGUGUAGCGGUGAAAUGCGCAGAUAUCAGGAGGAACACCGGUGGAGAAGGCGGUUCUCUGGGCAUGUCCUGACGAUGAGGAGCGAAAGUGUGGGGAGCGAACAGG
rnacentral:rRNA from 1 species